rnacentral:lncRNA from 1 species
CGCUUGUGGCGCUCGGGUCGCAGAAGCGUCAGUGGCUGUCGCUGCGGCUGCGUGGCGGGUUGUCCAGGUAACCACGGGAGUUGCCGCUGUCCGGUAGCAUCUGAACAACAGUUGCACGUCCGGUAGCAUCUGAACAACAGUUGCGUGUCAGGCAGUUGAAGCACCUGCUGAGCUCUCAGUCCCUGGGUGCCAAGAAACUGAAGCUUAAUGAUGUGGAGCUCCUACUUUGUGCAGAAAGCUGGAAAACAGAAGGCCGUAAAGGAUAUAGCGAUGAUCUAGACCCUGUCCUGUCGAUAGUGUUCGGGAGGUGCGAUGCAGCGCUAAGCU